rnacentral:rRNA from 1 species
GACAGAGGGUGCAAACGUUGUUCGGAAUUACUGGGCGUAAAGCGCGUGUAGGCGGCCCUGCAAGUCGGAUGUGAAAUCCCACGGCUCAACCGUGGAAGUGCAUUCGAAACUGCAGGGCUAGAGUCCUGGAGAGGAAGGUGGAAUGCUUGGUGUAGAGGUGAAGUUCGUAGAUAUCAAGCGGAACACCGGUGGCGAAGGCGGCCUUCUGGACAGUGACUGACGCUGAGACGCGAAAGCGUGGGGAGCAAACAGG